CUCCGGUAUCUGCCACCAAGAAAACAGGUGACAUCAAUUAUCUUGGCACAAACCAUGAUCGGGGCUUCUCUCGCAUCUUCCCCAAUUCCGCCGAUGCACCCUUCCCCCUUGUCUACUGAAAUCAAGUGAUGGAGCGGCCGAAUGAUGGAUGGAAAUAGUUGGAGUAACACCGCCGGAAAACGUAUCAGAUGUCGAGGUAUUCGAUGGAGUGUCCCUAUGUAGAAAAAGCCCUAGCUGGAUCAAUCUUCCGGUUUGGUUCUCCUCUUUCGAAGAAAUUCCUGUUCUCAUUAGACUAGAAACCAUUUAAUGUGAUUUUUAACUAUUCAAUUAUGGAUAUUUGUUGAUUAUUUGGAGUAAAACGCCUAUGAAACUUUAUAAAAAAAAAAUUAAAAAAAGGAAUAGCCGAAAUAGGGUUACCAUUCAUUUAUGGGAUGCGUAG